ACACCGCGGGUAAGAAGCACACCCCAUCGUUGGUCUGUGCAACAUGAGUGUGUCGGUACACCUACCACCCGAUGAGGAGUCAUAAGGGCCUGCCUUGAUCUUAUUGCUCCCGUCGCCGUCUGCUACGUUGCCUCGUCCUGAUCUUAGGCCUUGGUGGCUGAGCCAAUAUGGCCGUGCAAGAGCAGCUUCUACUGCAAGCUCCAUCAUGGUGUCCAUGCAUCAUACUCUACUCCAGGUGGGGAGAAGGGGAGCGACAUCUCCGUCGAUCGGUAUGAGGAUGACAUCUCUAUCCCCUAGUUCACGGUGACUGCUUGGGAAGGGGCCAUGAAGAUGAAGGUUCAGAUUCAAUAGAGAAGGCAUCAAUACGUAGUAGCUCUGCGGAUGCUCCUUCAGUUGUGCCUUGCAUUUCAACAAUUAUCAGGUGGGGUUACUGCGACCCCGUAGGCUGCAAGAUUGAAUGCAGGUUCUUAUCGGGCCGGGAAGAUGGCUACUGCGCUCUCCUAGGUUGCUCAUGCAAGAGGUGUGGAAAUGCUUUUCGUCCAAUAAUUGAUAAGAAAAUGUAAUACUUAGAAGUAGCGCCAUCCAUCAGAAAAGCAAUAUACAAUAUGAACCUAUGUCAUUCCAGGAGUUUCAUAAAUAAAAGGCAGGGUGCAACUGUAUACGCCCUCCUUCCCGAAAAACAUGACGUUGAGAUUGAUAGCUUUUGCGCUUUUAUGAGUGGAGGUAGCAUUACAAACAAGAACUUGUAAGGCACAAUAGGCAUUUUCAUCCCUAAACUUUCGCCCAAGGCUCAAUUUGGUCCAUCAACUAUCAAAACGGUCAUUUUAGUCCUCAAACUUUCUUUUUAGUCUCAAUUUCAUCUCUUUUCUUAUUUGGCAUGUCACGUGGUCACGCUAUGUCAUCGAAGAGUCCUCCAAGAUGAACAAGCACCGAAUUGAUCCUAUUUAUACCCAUCCCCUCAUUUCUUCUUUGUUAGGCUAGGCAGCCUAUACAUGAGUAAAGACACAGCAACGUAGUCAUGCAACUACACUAUUUGUCAGACCCGGGGCUAUGGGACUGCGCACAUAGCAUAGAAUAUUCUGGAAUAAGGGAUGGGGCAUGUCCCAUAUCUUAUAUCUGUUGUAACUACUCGUAUGCAAGUAGGACUAGUCGGAACAGAAGAAAAUUACCCAAGUAGUACUCAGGUUGGACUCCUAAGCUAGUAUCGGGCUAGGAUUCCAUACGAUGAGGACAUCACUCAUUUGGAUGCACACAACACUUCUUCACUGGACAUUCAAGGUCCAAUCACUAGAGCUCAUGCACGACAAUUGAAUUUAGAGGUGAGCUCGUUCCUAAGCACUUUAACUUAUGAUUUGAGAAUAGAUUGCUACCUAAUGAUUAUAUUGUGAUUAGGAACCAUGGAGAGGACCAGAAGAUGCAUGGAGAAGGGCUUGGAGGUAUGGAGGUACAGCAUGGGAGUGCAAGCCAAGUUGGAGACCCAAUCCAAGUCGACUUCGAGUCCACCUCGGAGUCUAGAAGCAGUCUGCCUUAAAUUGGACGCCCAGGACACAUACAAAGUCGGAUUUGGAUGUUCUAUAUAUGGUUGGAACCAGAAUUUCAUAAGGCUUCCAAUGGCACUGGUCCCACGUCAAAGUUCCUUCUAAGUCGACGGAAUCAUCAAAACAAGUGGACAUCCAAAAUCUGUCAGGGUGCUGCGUCACCAUCUUUUGGGCCGCUGGCCCGUGUAUCGUGUUGGAGCCCGUUAGGGUUGCGUC